GAACGGUGAAGAGAAGCUUGCUUCUCGGAUCAGUGGCGGACGGGUGAGUAACACGUGAGCAACCUGCCUUUAAGAGGGGGAUAACGUUUGGAAACGAACGCUAAUACCGCAUAACAUAGAAGAUUCGCAUGUUUCUUCUAUCAAAGAUUUAUCGCUUAAAGAUGGGCUCGCGUCUGAUUAGCUGGUUGGUGAGGUAACGGCUCACCAAGGCGACGAUCAGUAGCCGUACUGAGAGGUAGAACGGCCACAUUGGGACUGAGACACGGCCCAGACUCCUACGGGAGGCAGCAGUGGGGAAUAUUGCACAAUGGAGGGAACUCUGAUGCAGCGAUGCCGCGUGAGGGAAGAAGGUUUUAGGAUUGUAAACCUCUGUCUUCAGGGACGAUAAUGACGGUACCUGAGGAGGAAGCUCCGGCUAACUACGUGCCAGCAGCCGCGGUAAUACGUAGGGAGCGAGCGUUGUCCGGAAUUACUGGGUGUAAAGGGAGCGUAGGCGGGAUCUUAAGUCAGGUGUGAAAACUAUGGGCUUAACCCAUAGACUGCACUUGAAACUGAGGUUCUUGA
rnacentral:rRNA from 1 species